rnacentral:rRNA from 1 species
CACUCCUGCGGGAGGCAGCAGUGAGGAAUAUUGGACAAUGGGUGGAAGCCUGAUCCAGCCAUCCCGCGUGCAGGAAGACGGCCCUAUGGGUUGUAAACUGCUUUUAUCUGGGGAUAAACCUACUUACGUGUAAGUAGCUGAAGGUACCAGAAGAAUAAGCACCGGCUAACUCCGUGCCAGCAGCCGCGGUAAUACGGAGGGUGCAAGCGUUAUCCGGAUUUAUUGGGUUUAAAGGGUCCGUAGGCGGACUGAUAAGUCAGUGGUGAAAUCCGACAGCUUAACUGUCGAACUGCCAUUGAUACUGUUAGUCUUGAGUAAGGUUGAAGUGGCUGGAAUAAGUAGUGUAGCGGUGAAAUGCAUAGAUAUUACUUAGAACACCAAUUGCGAAGGCAGGUCACUAAGUCUUAACUGACGCUGAUGGACGAAAGCGUGGGGAGCGAACAGGAUUAGAAACCCCGGUAGUCCCAU